rnacentral:lncRNA from 1 species
AGUCCAUAAAACUUUACAAAAUCAAUAAACACAAUGAAUAUAUGAAAACAACUUCCAAACUCAUCACUUGUUACAGGUAUUAAUCAAUAAACACAAUGAAUAUAUGAAAACAACUUCCAAACUCAUCACUUGUUACAGGUAUUAAUCAAUAAACACAAUGAAUAUAUGAAAACAACUUCCAAACUCAUCACUUGUUACAGGUAUUAAUCAAUAAACACAAUGAAUAUAUGAAAACAACUUCCAAACUCAUCACUUGUUACAGGUAUUAAUCAAUAAACACAAUGAAUAUAUGAAAACAACUUCCAAACUCAUCACUUGUUACAGGUAUUAAUCAGUAAACACAAUGAAUAUAUGAAAACAACUUCCAAACUCAUCACUUGUUACAGGUAUUUUCCAAAGAAAGUGGUAAGAUAAAACAGGAUUGAUAGCUAGCUUAAUCUUCUACUUGAUUGACAGUUUAUUGUAGUUCCUUUGUAUUAAAAAGGGGUCCAAACUUUGUAAACAUAUGUCACAGAUAAACAACA